GACGAACGCUGGCGGGGUGCCUAAUACAUGCAAGUCGAACGCACGAAGUUGAAGAGCUUGCUCUUUAACCAAGUGAGUGGGGGACGGGUGAGUAACACGUGGGUAACCUGCCCAUUAGAGGGGGAUAACAUUCGGAAACGGAUGCUAAUACCGCAUAGUUUCAGGGAUCGCAUGAUUCUUGAAGGAAAGGUGGCUCCGGCUACCACUAAUGGAUGGACCCGCGGCGUAUUAGCUAGUUGGUGAGGUAAUGGCUCACCAAGGCAAUGAUACGUAGCCGACCUGAGAGGGUGAUCGGCCACACUGGGACUGAGACACGGCCCAGACUCCUACGGGAGGCAGCAGUAGGGAAUCUUCCGCAAUGGACGAAAGUCUGACGGAGCAACGCCGCGUGAGUGAAGAAGGUUUUCGGAUCGUAAAACUCUGUUGUUAAAGAAGAACAAGGAUGAGAGUAACUGCUCAUCCCCUGACGGUAUUUAACCAGAAAGCCACGGCUAACUACGUGCCAGCAGCCGCGGUAAUACGUAGGUGGCAAGCGUUGUCCGGAUUUAUUGGGCGUAAAGCGAGCGCAGGCGGUUCUUUAAGUCUGAUGUGAAAGCCCCCGGCUCAACCGGGGAGGGUCAUUGGAAACUGGAGAACUUGAGUGCAGAAGAGGAGAGUGGAAUUCCACGUGUAGCGGUGAAAUGCGUAGAUAUGUGGAAGAACACCAGUGGCGAAGGCGACUCUCUGGUCUGUAACUGACGCUGAGGCUCGAAAGCGUGGGGAGCAAACAGG
rnacentral:rRNA from 1 species